rnacentral:rRNA from 1 species
AUUGAACGCUGGCGGCAUGCCUUACACAUGCAAGUCGAACGGCAGCGGACCUUCGGGUGCCGGCGAGUGGCGAACGGGUGAGUAAUGCAUCGGAACGUGCCAUUGAGUGGGGGGAUAACGUAGCGAAAGUUACGCUAAUACCGCAUAUUCUGUGAGCAGGAAAGCAGGGGACCGCAAGGCCUUGCGCUCUUUGAGCGGCCGAUGUCAGAUUAGCUAGUUGGUGAGGUAAAGGCUUACCAAGGCGACGAUCUGUAGCGGGUCUGAGAGGAUGAUCCGCCACACUGGAACUGAGACACGGUCCAGACUCCUACGGGAGGCAGCAGUGGGGAAUUUUGGACAAUGGGCGCAAGCCUGAUCCAGCCAUGCCGCGUGAGUGAAGAAGGCC